rnacentral:rRNA from 1 species
UACGGAGGAUGCAAGCGUUUAUCCGGAAUGAUUGGGCGUAAAGCGUCCGCAGGUGGCGAUGUAAGUCUGCUGUUAAAGAGUGAGGCUCAACCUCAUAAGAGCAGUGGAAACUACAUAGCUAGGAGUACGUUCGGGGCAGAGGGAAUUCCUGGUGUAGCGGUGAAAUGCGUAGAGAUCAGGAAGAACACCAGUGGCGAAGGCGGCAUCCUGGACCGGCAUUGGACGCGUGAGGCGCGGAAAGCCCAGGGGAGCAAACGGG